UUUUUUUCCCACUUCUUUUGCUUCGCUUCUUCCGUAGCCGUUUGCUCUCUCCUCUCUUCGCCUCUGCUGGUCUCAAAGUGGAUAGUUUUGUGGUGAGUUCUUCUAAUCUUGCAUCUACAAGUUUUUUAUGCAACUGUAUGGAUUGUGUUCUGUUCAAUUUUAGAUGUUUGAAGCUUUUAAUUUUUUUUGGGUUCAAUUUUAAAUGGGUUGUUGCUUUCAGAGUUUUUGUUUGAUGAUAGAGAUGGGGUUUUUGGGGAGAAACUUUUAAUCCGUGAGUUUUUUUAGUUAGGUUGUUUAAGAGUUACAUUCAUGGGAAUUCUUUUGUUCUUCUUUUUUCCUGCAUCUGGAAAAUGCCACAUGAUGUGAGUUUAUAAUUAAAUAAGAAUAUCAAAAUGGGUUUUCUGUGCAAAUUUUCUUUUUCUGAUUUUAUAGAACCGAAGAGGAUGUUAACAAUAACAUUAUUGUAUGAUAUGUGAUCUAAAGUUCUUUGGUGAGUUAUUUGGUUUUCUUGCCACAUGGGAUUUUAAUAUAUAUUUUUUUCGUGGUUUAUGCGUGGUUCUCUGAUGUGUUUUGAUUUUUUAUUUCAAGAAAAGUUAACGAUACGAUCAAACGUUUACUGGUAAAUUUUCUAUUUUUCUGAUUGUGUGUGAUUUAAUUUUUUUAAAGCUUUGGGUGUACUUUUCUGAACUGCUUUGAUUUUUAGUUGCAGCAAAUGUUGUUGCUCGAAUUUUCCAGUUUUUAUCUGCAGCUUUGCAAGCUCUUUAUCAACAAGGUAUAUAAUUUUUAUUCUUUUUCCUGAAUCUUUUGUUGGAUGGAAUCGUUUUUUAGUUUUUGGUGAGUUCGUCUAAUCUCGCAUCUGGUACUGUGUUUUUUCCGACUGUAGAGAUUGUAUUUUGUUGAAUUUUAAAUGGUAGAAGCUUCUUGGGUUCAAUUUAAAUGGGUUGUUAUCAACUAUUGAAUUGCUUUCGAAGCUAUUUGGCUACUCCCUUAACGCCCUUUUUCCUUUUCUUUUCAACUUCUUCGAUUUGCAGCCCCCUUCUUUUUUUUUCCUUUUCCAGAUUUAGCUUUUUUCCCCUAUAUUGUAUCUUUUGGCUAAUUUUGUGGGUCUUGGUCAGUGCUGUGGGUAUUGGUGAAUUUCUAGCAUGUUUAUGCAUGCAGUUUUUGUUAUAAUGUAUGGAUUGUGUUUUGUUCAAUUUUAAAUGUCAGAAGCUUUUAAUUUUUUUUGGGUUCAAUUUUAAAUGGGUUGUUGUCAACCAUUGAAUUUCUUUUGGAGUAUUCAUUUGACAAGAGAGAUGGGGGGGGGUUCUUUUGGGUGAAACUUUUGAUCCGUGAGAUUUUUAGUUAGGUUGUGUUGUGGGUUUUCGCAAAUUUCUAUCGUGUUUAUGCAUGCAUUUUUUGGUUAUAGAUUUGGAAGAACAUAGCAUUACAGGGUGUUGAGGGUUUGCUGGCGG
rnacentral:lncRNA from 1 species